GGGCCGCACAAGCGGAGGAACAUGUGGUUUAAUUCGAUGAUACGCGAGGAACCUUACCUGGGCUUAAAUGUAGAGUGCAUUUUUUAGAGAUAGAAAUUCCCUUCGGGGCUUUCUGCAAGGUGCUGCAUGGUUGUCGUCAGCUCGUGCCGUGAGGUGUCGGGUUAAGUCCCAUAACGAGCGCAACCCUUAUCGUUAGUUGCCAUCUGGUAAUGCAGGGGACUCUAGCGAAACUGCCACCGUAAGGUGAGAGGAAGUGGGGAUGACGUCAAAUCAGCACGGCCCUUAUGUCCAGGGCUACACACGUGUUACAAUGGUCGGUACAGAGGGCAGCUACCUGGUGACAGGAUGCUAAUCUCGAAAACCGGUCUCAGUUCGGAUCGAAGUCUGCAACUCGACUUCGUGAAGCUGGAUUCGCUAGUAAUCGCGCAUCAGCUAUGGCGCGGUGAAUACGUUCCCGGGCCUU
rnacentral:rRNA from 1 species